rnacentral:rRNA from 1 species
AUUGAACGCUGGCGGCAUGCUUUACACAUGCAAGUCGAACGGUAGAGGGGGCAACCCCUUGAGAGUGGCGAACGGGUGAGUAAUAUAUCGGAACGUGCCCAGUCGUGGGGAUAACGUAGCGAAAGUUACGCUAAUACCGCAUACGAUCUACGGAUGAAAGCGGGGGGACUCGCAAGAGCCUCGCGCGAUUGGAGCGGCCGAUAUCAGAUUAGGUAGUUGGUGGGGUAAAGGCUCACCAAGCCAACGAUCUGUAGCUGGUCUGAGAGGACGACCAGCCACACUGGGACUGAGACACGGCCCAGACUCCUACGGGAGGCAGCAGUGGGAAUAUGGACAAUGGCGGAAAGACCUGAUCCAGCAAUAG